UGGGGAAUCUUGGACAAUGGGGGCAACCCUGAUCCAGCCAUGCCGCGUGAGUGACGAAGGUCUUCGGAUUGUAAAGCUCUUUUAGCAGGGAAGAUAAUGACGGUACCUGCAGAAUAAGCCCCGGCUAACUUCGUGCCAGCAGCCGCGGUAAUACGAAGGGGGCUAGCGUUGUUCGGAAUUACUGGGCGUAAAGCGCACGUAGGCGGAUUGAUAAGUUAGAGGUGAAAUCCCGGGGCUCAACCUCGGAACUGCCUUUGAUACUGUUAGUCUCGAGUCCGAUAGAGGUGAGUGGAAUUCCUAGUGUAGAGGUGAAAUUCGUAGAUAUUAGGAAGAACACCAGUGGCGAAGGCGGCUCACUGGAUCGGUACUGACGCUGAGGUGCGAAAGCGUGGGGAGCAAACAGGAUUAGAUACCCAAGUAGUCCCUGAGCGGGCUGGCAAGGCGCAU
rnacentral:rRNA from 1 species